UACGUAGGUGGCGAGCGUUAUCCGGAAUUACUGGGCGUAAAGCGCACGCAGGCGGCGCAUCAAGUUCGACGUGAAAGCUCCCGGCUUAACUGGGAGAGGUCGUUGAAGACUGAUGUGCUUGAGGCAAUGAGAGGGGUGUAGAAUUCCCGGUGUAGUGGUGGAAUGCGUAGAUAUCGGGGGGAAUACCAGUGGCGAAAGCGGCACCCUAGCAUUAGCCUGACGCUCAUGUGCGAAAGCGUGGGGAGCGAACGGG
rnacentral:rRNA from 1 species